CCGAGUGCGGGUCCAUUGGCCCGACCUCCAACCCCUUUGUUUGACAACACCCGUUGCCUCGGGGGCGGUCCGGACGCCGACGCGUCGGCCCCCCGACGGACCCAACCGUAACUCUGUGUCGAUGCGUCAGAGUACUUUGCGAAUCAAUCA
rnacentral:misc_RNA from 1 species